UACGGGGGGGGCAAGCGUUGUUCGGAAUUACUGGGCGUAAAGGGCUCGUAGGCGGCCAACUAAGUCGGAUGUGAAAUCCCCAGGCUCAACCUGGGAACUGCAUCCGAUACUGGAUGGCUUGAAUUUGGGAGAGGGAUGCAGAAUUCCAGGUGUAGCGGUGAAAUGCGUAGAUAUUAGGAAGAACACCAGUGGCGAAGGCGGCUCACUGGUCCGGUACUGACGCUGAGGUGCGAAAGCGUGGGGAGCAAACAGG
rnacentral:rRNA from 1 species